rnacentral:rRNA from 1 species
AUUGAACGCUGGCGGCAGGCUUAACACAUGCAAGUCGAGCGGGGUGAUGGUGCUUGCACUAUCACUUAGCGGCGGACGGGUGAGUAAUGCUUAGGAAUCUGCCUAUUAGUGGGGGACAACAUCUCGAAAGGGAUGCUAAUACCGCAUACGUCCUACGGGAGAAAGCAGGGGAUCACUUGUGACCUUGCGCUAAUAGAUGAGCCUAAGUCGGAUUAGGUAGUUGGUGGGGUAAAGGCCUACCAAGGCGACGAUCUGUAGCGGGUCUGAGAGGCUCAUCCGCCACACUGGGACUGAGACACGGCCCAGACUCCUACGGGAGGCAGCAGUGGGGAAUAUUGGACAAUGGGGUGAACCCUGAUCCAGCCAUGCCGCGUGUGUGAAGAAGGCCUUAUGGUUGUAAAGCACUUUAAGCGAGGAGGAGGCUCUUUUGGUUAAUACCCAAGAUGAGUGGACGUUACUCGCAGAAUAAGCACCGGCUAACUCUGUGCCAGCAGCCGCCGUAA